rnacentral:rRNA from 1 species
GUUCUCUCCGAAAUAUAUUUAGGUAUAGCGUUGUGUCGUAAUAUAAGGGGGUAGAGCACUGAAUGGGCUAGGGCAUACACCAAUGUACCAAACCCUAUCAAACUCCGAAUACCUUAUAUGUAAUCACAGCAGUCAGGCGGCGAGUGAUAAAAUCCGUCGUCAAGAGGGAAACAACCCAGACUACCAGCUAAGGUCCCUAAAUCUUACUUAAGUGGAAAACGAUGUGAAGUUACUUAAACAACCAGGAGGUUGGCUUAGAAGCAGCCAUCCUUUAAAGAAAGCGUAAUAGCUCACUGGUCUAGUGAUUUUGCGCGGAAAAUAUAACGGGGCUAAAGUAAGUACCGAAGCUGUAGACUUGCGCACAACUUAGAUUAUUUAAGUUUAGAAUAUGAGAAACUAAGUUAUGUUUAGUUAUAUUUUUACUGAUUUUUAUAGAGUAAAGAUAGAAAUAAAACUUAGUAAAAUCAGUAAAAAUAUUCUUAGGCUAAAGUUAAGUAGUUUAAGUUGUGUGCAAGUGGUAGGAGAGCGUUCUAUUUGCGUCGAAGGUAUACCGGUAAGGAGUGCUGGAGCGAAUAGAAGUGAGCAUGCAGGCAUGAGUAGCGAUAAUUAAUGUGAGAAUCAUUAACGCCGUAAACCCAAGGUUUCCUACGCGAUGCUCGUCAUCGUAGGGUUAGUCGGGUCCUAAGUCGAGUCCGAAAGGGGUAGACGAUGGCAAAUUGGUUAAUAUUCCAAUACCAACAUUAGUGUGCGAUGGAAGGACGCUUAGGGCUAAGGGGGCUAGCGGAUGGAAGUGCUAGUCUAAGGUCGUAGGAGGUUAUACAGGCAAAUCCGUAUAACAAUACUCCGAGAACUGAAAGGCUUUUUGAAGUCUUCGGAUGGAUAGAAGAACCCCUGAUGCCGUCGAGCCAAGAAAAGUUUCUAAGUUUAGCUAAUGUUGCCCGUACCGUAAACCGACACAGGUGGGUGGGAUGAGUAUUCUAAGGCGCGUGGAAGAACUCUCUUUAAGGAACUCUGCAAAAUAGCACCGUAUCUUCGGUAUAAGGUGUGGUUAGCUUUGUAUUAGGAUUUACUCCGAAAGCAAGGAAACUUACAACAAAGAGUCCCUCCCGACUGUUUACCAAAAACACAGCACUCUGCUAACUCGUAAGAGGAUGUAUAGGGUGUGACGCCUGCCCGGUGCUCGAAGGUUAAUUGAUGGGGUUAGCAUUAGCGAAGCUCUUGAUCGAAGCCCGAGUAAACGGCGGCCGUAACUAUAACGGUCCUAAGGUAGCGAAAUUCCUUGUCGGUUAAAUACCGACCUGCAUGAAUGGCGUAACGAGAUGGGAGCUGUCUCAAAGAGGGAUCCAGUGAAAUUGUAGUGGAGGUGAAAAUUCCUCCUACCCGCGGCAAGACGGAAAGACCCCGUGGACCUUUACUACAGCUUGACACUGCUACUUGGAUAAGAAUGUGCAGGAUAGGUGGGAGGCUUUGAGUAUAUGACGCCAGUUGUAUAUGAGCCAUUGUUGAGAUACCACUCUUUCUUAUUUGGGUAGCUAACCAGCUUGAGUUAUCCUCAAGUGGGACAAUGUCUGGUGGGUAGUUUGACUGGGGCGGUCGCCUCCCAAAUAAUAACGGAGGCUUACAAAGGUUGGCUCAGAACGGUUGGAAAUCGUUCGUAGAGUAUAAAGGUAUAAGCCAGCUUAACUGCAAGACAUACAAGUCAAGCAGAGACGAAAGUCGGUCUUAGUGAUCCGGUGGUUCUGUGUGGAAGGGCCAUCGCUCAAAGGAUAAAAGGUACCCCGGGGAUAACAGGCUGAUCUCCCCCAAGAGCUCACAUCGACGGGGAGGUUUGGCACCUCGAUGUCGGCUCAUCGCAUCCUGGGGCUGGAGCAGGUCCCAAGGGUAUGGCUGUUCGCCAUUUAAAGCGGUACGCGAGCUGGGUUCAGAACGUCGUGAGACAGUUCGGUCCCUAUCUGCCGUGGGCGUAAGAAGAUUGAAGAGAUUUGACCCUAGUACGAGAGGACCGGGUUGAACAAACCACUGGUGUAGCUGUUGUUCUGCCAAGAGCAUCGCAGCGUAGCUAAGUUUGGAAAGGAUAAACGCUGAAAGCAUCUAAGCGUGAAGCCAACUCUAAGAUGAAUCUUCUCUAAGCUCUCUAGAAGACUACUAGUUUGAUAGGCUGGGUGUGUAAUGGAUGAAAGUCCUUUAGCUGACCAGUACUAAUAGAGCGUUUGGCUUAUCUUUAAUAAAGCAU